GAGAUUCAGAAGCCUGAUCAAGAUUCACGUGGAGGAGAAUAGACCCCAUCUUUCAAUGAGACUUCAGGGCACAGUACUCUCCACAGGGAUACCAAUGUCUACAAGGGUGCCACUGGCCCAGCAGGUAAGCAAGUCACCAGGUCCAGCCUAUACUUAAGAGGAAGGCAUUAUACAAGGGAGUGAAUGCCAGGAGGCAAGAUUAUUGGGAGGCACGUCAGAAGCUGCCUGCAAAAACAGGGCCCAAAUGAAACAGCUUUUAAUUCCAAAUGCAAAAUAAACAACAUGGAAAUAUAAGACAGCACAUUGAAAAGACCCAAGAGUCAAAGGAGGAAAUUUGUAUCCAGAGGUGUUCCAUGAAAUUGAGUGCUGAGAGAUAAGAAAAGAAAAAAAAAUGGAGAGUGAAGAAAGCAACAUUUUGAGAGCUGAGCAGGUUUGUUUUUUUUUUUAUCAGAAAUAGUGUUUAUUGGACUCCCCUCCAUAAAAAAAAAAAAAAAUUGCUUAUGGAAAUAAGAUUAGUAUCUCUUCCCUUUGGUUCCCAGAACACCUAAAAAAGGAGAUGAGAGGGAAACAGGGGAGGAAGGAGAGAAAGAAGGACUUGGUGAGAACUGGGUAAGUCUUCAAGAAAGUUGGGGGUCAGGUCCAUGCUUUUGCUUCUCUGCUCUCCCUUCCAAUUCUAUAAUUGGCACAAGAAAGGAUUCCAGCCCUACUUUGGCUUAUCUCUCAUAUUCUUAAAUCCAUGCCUGUUCCUCAAGUAUUUAGUUAGGGAGGAAAGCUGUGAGCUGGUAAAGUCUGCUCCCCCACCACCUCUGGAAUUUUCCCCACGGAAAUAGGACACAAUAAAGUCAGACAAUGCGAGCAUUCACACCAGGGCAGCCAGGGAUGCCUUUGUUCUGGUGAACCAGAAUGAAGCUUAACUAAAUAUGCUGUGAAGCAACUUAAGCAAAGUGGAAAGAGAAAAUGAUUUU